AAGAAUAGAGUGAUGGUCAUCAGAAUUAGCUGAGGCAGAAGAGGAGGCAAAAUGGUAAUCUGGAAGGUUGGUUUAUGGCAAAUUCAUUAGGCACUCCUUGGGAAAUCUCAACUGUGUGGUAGAAUUUGAAGAAAACUGUUUUUGCUAAUAGAAAGUCAGUAAAAUCCAGUAAAAUGCUGGUUUUGUGACUGCCUCCCCUCCCCCAUCCCCCUGCAGACUGGUGUGAUCAGAGAAAAAUAGGCCGCGUUUGCUCAAAUGGUUACUAAAUAACUCUUGUUUUCAAGGAUAGCUUUAAAGAAAAAAAGAAUGUACAAAAUGCCACUUGAGAGAUGUGUAAUUUGAAAAGAAAAAGAAUGGUUGUUCUUUUUUGAUUUGCUGUUGUUGGGGUAAUUUCAGACUAUUUUAAAAUAUUCACUGGUAAAGUCUCUUUCAUGUGCGUCUGUGUGAAGAGACCACCAAACAGGCUUUGUGUGAGCAACAUGGCUGUUUAUUUCACCUGGGUGCAGGUGGGCUGAGGCCGAAGAGAGUCAGCAAAGGGAGACAAGGGUGGGGCCAUUUUAUAGGAUUUGGGUAAGUAAAGGAAAAUUACAGUCAAAGGGGGUUUGUUCUCUGGCAGGUAGGAGUGGGGGUCGCAAGGUGCUCAGUGGGCAGGAGUGGGGGGGUCACAAGGUGCUCAGUGGGGGUGCUUUUUGAGCCAGGAUGAGCCAGGAAAAGGACUUUCACAAGGUAAUGUCAUCAGUUAAGGCAAGGACCGGCCAUUUACACUUCUUUUGUGGUGGAAUGUCAUCAGUUAAGGUGGGGCAGGGCAUAUUCACUUCUUUUGUGAUUCUUUAGUUACUUCAGGCCCUCUGGGCGUAUAUGUGCAGGUCACAGGGGAUGUGAUGGCUUGGCUUGGGCUCAGAGGCCUGACAUUCCUGCCUUCUUAAUAAGAAAAAUAAAACAAAAUAGUGUUGAAGUGUUGGGGCGGCGAAAAUUUUUGGGGGGUGGUAUGGAGAGAGAGUGGACGAUGUUCCUCAGGCCUGCUUCAAGAGGGAUUAGGGGCGGCGUGGGAACCUAGAGUGGGAGAGAUUAAGCUGAAAGGAGAUCUUGUGGUAAGGGGUGAUAUUGUGGGGUUGUUAGAAGAAACAUUUGUUGUAUAGAAUGAUUGGUGAUGGCCUGGAUAUGGUUUUGUAUGAACUGAAAAACUAAAUGGAAUAAGAAGGAGAAAAACAGGUAUAAAAGGUCUAAGAAUUGGGAGGACCUAGGACAUCUGAUUAGAGAGUGCCUAAGGAGAUUCAGCAUAGUCCUGCCAGCAAAGAUUAUUUAUUUACUUCAAGAGUUAAGAGUGGCGGUUUGGGGAUAGCACGAGGAGAUAUCAGCUGUGAUGGCUUGGAUAAACAGUGUAAACUGGCAGUGUAAAGAAGAGCAGGGCAUGUAUGAGUAGUUGAGAAUGGAGAAUAGGAGUAUGACUAGACAGAAAACAGUAGGGAUGACAAGCUUUUAUUGGGGCACAGUCUAAGUUGGUCCGGUGUCUGGAAUGAGACUGGGGCCUAAUAAAAAGGAGCAUCUAUACAGGAGCUUAAAUGGGCUGUACCUUGUAGCAUUCCGAGGACAGGCCUGAAUUCUGAGAAGGGAAAGUGAUAAAAGUAUUGUCCAGUCCUUUUUGAUGGCUGAGCUUGGUGAGGUGUGUUUUUAAAAGACCUUCAGUCCAUUCUACCUUUCUUGAAGAUGGAGGACUGUAAGGGAUAUAAAGGUUUCACUGAAUACUAAGAGCCUGAAAAACUGCUUGGCUGAUUUGACUAAUAAAGGCUCAUCUGUUAUCAGACUGUAUUGAGGUGGGAAGGCUAAACUGAGGAAUUAUGUCUGACAGAAUGGAAGAAAUGACUGCGGAGGCCUUCUCAGACCCUGUAGGAAAGGCCUUUACUUAUUCAGUGAAAGUGUCUAUUUAGACUAAGAGGUAUUUUAGUUUCCUGACUCAGGCAUGUUGAGUAAAGCUAGUUUGCCAGUCCUGGGUGGGGGCAAAUCCUCGAGCUUGAUGUGUAGGGAAGGGAGGGGGCCUGAAUAAUCCCUGAGGAGUAGUAGAAUAGCAGAUGGAACACUGAGAAGUUAUUUCCUUGAGGAUAGAUUUCCACGAUGGAAAGGAAAUGAGAGGUUCUGAGAGGCGGGCUAGUGGCUUGUACUAUAGCAUAGCCUGCCUUUGCUGGUAUGUGGCGACUAGGCCUGGUGGAACUGCCAUCAAUAAAUCAAGCGUGAUCAGGGUGAGGAACAGGAAAGAAGGAAAUUUGGGGAAAUGGGGUUAAUGUCAGGUGGAUCAGAGAGAUACAGUCAUGGGGGUCAGGUGUGGUAUCAGGAAUAAUGUGGGAGGCCGGAUUCAAGUAUGGGCCAGGAACAAUGAUAAUUGUGGGAGACUCAACAGAGUGAGUAUAGCUGAAGGAGCUGGGAAGCAGAAAGUAUAUGCGUCAGGUAUGAGGAAGAAAAUAGAUUUUGGAAGUUAUGAGAACUGUAGAGAGUGAGUUGAGCAUAGUUUGUGAUUUUGAGGGCCUCUAAAAGUAUUAAUGCAGUGGCAGCUGCCGCACGCAGACAUACGGGCUAGGCUAAAACAGUAAGGUCAAGUUGUUUGGACAGAAGGCUACAGGGUGUGGUCCUGGCUCUUGUGUAAGAAUUCUGACCACCCUAACCAUGCCUAGGAAGGAAAGGAGUUGUUUUGUAGAGUUUGGGGUUUGAGAGAUCAGUCAGACACGAUUGGCAGGGAGAGCACGUGUGUUUUUAUGAGAAUUAUGCCGAGAUAGGUAACAGUUGAGGAAGAAAUUUGGGCUUGAUUGAAGUAAUGGGGGCUGUCUGUGAAGCUUUGCGGCAGUACAGCCUAGGUAAUUUGCUGAGCUUGAUGGGUGUCAGGGUCAGUCCAAGUGAAAGCGAAGAGAGGCUGGGAUUAAGGGUGCAAAGGAAUAGUAAAUAAAGCAUGUUUGAGAUCUAGAACAGAAUAAUGGGUUGUAGAGGCAGGUAUUGAGGAUAGGAGAGUAUAUGGGUUUGGCACCACGGGGUGGAUAGGCAAAACAAUUUGGUUGAUAAAGUGCAGAUCCUGAACUAACUUGUAAGGUUUGUCUGGUUUUAGGACAGGUAAAAUGGGGGAAUUGUAAGGAGAGUUUAUAGGCUUUAAAAGGCCAUGCUGUAGCAGGCGAGUGAUAACAGGCUUUAAUCUUUUUAAAGUGUGCUGCGGGAUGGGAUUUUGGCAUUGAGUGGGGUAAGGGUGAUUAGGUUUUAAUGAGAUGGUAAGGGGUGCGUGAUCGGUCGCCAAGGAGGGAGUAGAGGUAUCUUAUACUUGUGGGUUAAGGUAGGGGGAUACAAGAGGAGGACGCAAAGGAGGCUUUGGAUUGGGAAGAAGGGCGGCAAUGAGAUAUAGCUGUAGUCCAGGAUAGUCAGGGAAGCAGAUAAUUUAGUUAAAGUGUCUCAGCCUAAUAAGGGAACUGGGCAGGUGGGGAUAAC
rnacentral:lncRNA from 10 species